CCUACGGGUGGCAGCAGUGAGGAAUAUUGGUCAAUGGACGAGAGUCUGAACCAGCCAAGUAGCGUGAAGGAUGACUGCCCUAUGGGUUGUAAACUUCUUUUAUAUGGGAAUAAAACGUUCCACGUGUGGGAUUUUGUAUGUACCAUAUGAAUAAGGAUCGGCUAACUCCGUGCCAGCAGCCGCGGUAAUACGGAGGAUCCGAGCGUUGUCCGGAUUUAUUGGGUUUAAAGGGAGCGUAGGUGGAUUGUUAAGUCAGUUGUGAAAGUUUGCGGCUCAACCGUAAAAUUGCAGUUGAAACUGGCAGUCUUGAGUACAGUAGAGGUGGGCGGAAUUCGUGGUGUAGCGGUGAAAUGCUUAGAUAUUACGAAGAACUCCGAUGGCGAAGGCAGUUCACUGGACUGUAACUGACACUGAGGCUCGAAAGUGUGGGUAUCAAACAGGAUUAGAUACCCUGGUAGUC
rnacentral:rRNA from 1 species